UGGGGUUGUGGCUCAGUGGUAGAGUGCUUGCCAGGCAUGUGUGAUGCCCUGGGUUUGAUCCUCAGCACCACAA
rnacentral:tRNA from 1 species